UUAUAAGUAGUAGUAGUAGUAGUAUUAUUAUUGCAAUUGACGACGGUAUUCCGUAUUUCUCUCCUUUUUUUACAAUUCAUUUAUUCUCCCUCCCUUCUUCCCCUCCCUUCUACCCUCCACACCCCAACAAUUAACCAAUUCGUAAUGGCGCCCCCCGUUUAGGAGAUACGUUAUAUCUUUAGCGCCUGUUUGUAAUUCACUUGAUAUUUCGUAAGGUGCAUCGUGACGCACAUUACGAAUCGUCAUAUUAAUUAAUUAAUAAACGUAAUGUACAUUUUUACAAUCAAUGUAUUUCUUUUUAGGUCCCAUUAUUACCGUGAAUAUUAGGGUGUUCCUUAUUUUGGAUAUCUUUGAAUUUUUAUGCUCCCAGAGGCUCAUAUGGUUCGACAUAAAUAAAACAAAAAUAUCCCGUAAGAAAUUCAAGUCUUUAUAUUAAUUAUAAUCUUUGUUGCACAUCUAAUAUCAGUACUUUUUAAUUUUCCUAUACGAAAUAUAAGUAUUUAUAUUGAUUAUUCUAUUAGAAUACAUAUCAAUAUAUAGUCCACCAAUAAGCGUAUGAAUUGCAUUCCACUAGCGUGUCAUCGACACUCCCCUAGCUUUUUAUUGGUGCUCGACUUGCGUAUUAAUGGCGAUUCACUAGCGUAACAAUGGCGUUCUGACAGUAUUUCAAGAUGGCAGGACACCAAAGUCAAAAGAUUACUAAUUAAUUAAGCAGUAAUUAUUACCCUUUGCAAUCGAUUAUAGUAAUCGGCUCUUACAUAUUUAAAAAAAAUGGACAUUUUAUGCCAUCUAUGAAGGAAUAAAUUUGCGUAAUUUCUGUCGAUAAAUAAAAAUAUCUCGCGUUAAUGAACUGCAUUAUCGAUUAGGUAACAAGUUACUAUUUUAAUUUAAAUAAUUUUAGAGAUGUCAUGUCAUGUCCAGUCUUUAAGGUUAACUGCAACGAAAAUUCUUUCCUAUACGAGAUUGUGUUCUUCUGUGCGAUGCUUUAUUCUAUUUAUUAUUUUUAAAAUAUUUAAAAAAGACGUGUACAAUUAAUAGAAAACUUAGAAUUGAUUUGUGAUUUAUUUAAUAUAUAAAAUAUCAUUUCGAGUUUGACUAACGUGGUGGUUACGUGAGACGACAAGCUUGUGUAGAACAAUUACAAUUUUCAAGUUAUGCUAAUCAUCUUAAUAAACUUAUCUCUACCUUUGGAUGCACUCAAUGCAGCCUAGAUAUUAUGCAACGCAUAAAGAAUACAGCCCACAAUAACGAUCAAUACAAUCGAAUGUAUAUGAA
rnacentral:lncRNA from 1 species